UGUAUAGGCAGGACAGAUAAUGAUGUUCUAUUGCCAGAGAAACUGAUUGAUCAUAGCAUGGCUGAGAAUUCUUUUGUCGAAAGUCAUAGUAGCCCCAAUGAUGGAAAACCUGUUGUUUAUGUUCGAAAACGUUUCCGUAAGAUGGAUGGGCUUCCUGUGUAUGAAGCUGACAAAGCUUAUGUAGCUAAUAUACCUACUGUUUCUGUUGCACCAGUUGUGGAUGAAUUACGGAACUACAAAUCCAGUGUUAUGUGCAUCCCUGGCUCUCAGAGCGAGA
rnacentral:misc_RNA from 1 species